CUCCUGGGGUCCAGAUGUAGAAUUGGAAAUUACAAUGAGAGGCUUUCAUUGCGUCACUCAAAACUGGAGGACAACUGAAUGGAACUGUUGCCUGGAGACCGAUUUGAAUUGUCUCCCCCUCAAUCACUGAAUACUGAAGGAACUGGUUGGAAUAGACACUUAAAGAUGGCCUCCAUGGCUGAUCCGUCCUCGGUCUCCUCGUGGAAACUUCUCACUUCCGGACACACGUGGAGGUCGCUAUCUAGAUUAUAUUUAUAAUGAACCGCGGUAAGGAGCUGUGGAAACAAUAUCGUAUAAUACAUGUAAUAAAGAGAAUGUGAUAGGAGAAUGUUAUAUAAUAAGACAAUGUGAUAUGAUAUGAGAAUGUGAUGUAUGUAUGAUAAGAGAAUGUGAUAUGAUAAGAGAAUGUGAUAUGUUAUGAGAAUGUGAUGUAUAUAUGAUAAGAGAAUGUGAUAUGUUAUGAGAAAGUGAUGUAUGUAUGAUAAGAGAAUGUGAUAUGUUAUGAUAAUGUGAUAUGAUAAGAGAAUGUGAUGUAUGCAUGAUAAGAGAAUGUGAUAUGUUGAAUGUGAUAUGCUGUGAGAAUGUGAUGUGUUAUGAGAAUGUGAUAUGUUAUGAGAAUGUGAUGUAUGUAUAAUAAGAGCAUGUGAUAUGUUAUGAGAAUGUGAUGUUAUGAGAAUGUGAUAUGUUAUGAGAAUGUGAUGUAUGUAUGAUAAGAGAAUGUGAUAUUAUAUGAGAAUGUGAUAUAUUAUGAGAAUAUGAUGUUUUAUGAGAAUGUGAUAUGUUAUGAGAAUGUGAUGUAUGUAUAAUAAGAGAAUGUGAUAUGUUAUGAGAAUGUGAUAUGUUGUGAGCAUGUGAUAUGUUAUGAGAAUGUGAUAUGUUGUGAGCAUGUGAUAUGUUAUGAGAAUGUGAUGUUAUGAGAAUGUGAUAUGUUAUGAGAAUGUGAUGUAUGUAUGAUAAGAGAAUGUGAUAUUAUAUGAGAAUGUGAUAUAUUAUGAGAAUAUGAUGUUUUAUGAGAAUGUGAUAUGUUAUGAGAAUGUGAUAUGUUAUGAGAAUAUAAAACUUAUACGGUACCAAUUUUGAUGCACCAGAUGCACAUUUCAACAAAUAAUGUCUCUUCAGUGAUGCUCAACCGAAAUGUUUGAAAUCCGAAAUAACUAUGAAGCUUUAGAGCUAAAUAUAGCCAAAAACAGCGUGCCAAAAAAGGUGGAACCAAAUUCGUCCAAGGAUAAGAGCUAUGCAUGAGGGAGAUAAUCCUUAAUUUUGAAAUGAAUUUCUAAAUUUUAUAACAGCAAUUAAAUAUACAUCCGUAUUUUCAAGCUAGUAACGAAGUACUUAGCUACUGGGCUGUAGAGACCCUCGGGGACUAACAGUCCACCAGCAGAGGCCUCGACCCAGGGGUCAUAAUAUAAAACUUAUACGGUACCAAUUUUGAUGCACCAGAUGCACAUUUCAACAAAUAAUGUCUAAAGGGAGAUAAUCCUUAAUUUUGAAAUGAAUUUCUAAAUUUUAUAACAGCAAUUAGAGAAUGUGAUGUAUGUAUGAUAUGAGAAUGUGAUAUGUUAUGAAAAUGUGAUAUGUUAUUAAAAUAUAUGUUAUGAGAAUGUGAUAUGAUAAGAGAAUGUGAUGUGUUAUGAGAAUGUGAUAUGUUGUGAGAAUGUGAUGUAUGUAUGAUAAGAGAAUGUGAUAUGUUAUGAGAAUGUGAUAUGUUGUGAGCAUGUGAUAUGUUAUGAGAAUGUGAUGUUAUGAGAAUGUGAUAUGAUAAGAGAAUGUGAUGUGUUAUGAGAAUGUGAUAUGUUGUGAGAAUGUGAUGUAUGUAUGAUAAGAGAAUGUGAUAUGUUAUGAGAAUGUGAUGUGUUAUGAGAAUGCGAUGUAUGUAUGAUAAGAGAAUGUGAUAUGAUUGGAAAAUGUGAUAUUAGAAAUAUGUUAUUACAAGUUCUGUUUAUAAUUCGAUCAUUAAUGCAAAGUGUAAUUUGAUAAUAGGUGAAAUAAAAAGCACCAUGUGAAGUGAC